GCCUUCUCAGGAUCGCACCUGGAGAGUUUCCAUCCAGUACUCUAUCAGUCUCGGCUACAGGAGGGAGAGUCAAGCAGAGGCAUACCCAUUCCAUUCCUAGCUUGGUCAGUGGCUAAUGAGUGGAAGGCAAUCUGCUACAAGU